CAAGUAUAUGGUGAUCUUUACCUCUCUCUUCCUACUGAGAAGAUCAGCAUCAAAAAGCCUACUGGAACCUCUAUUUAGUUAGGAGCUACUUGUCCAUUGAGAGAAAGCCUCCAAAUUCUUGACUUGGUUUGAGGAAAGAGUACAUGGACCAAAACCCAUCUUAGAACUACAGGAGGGAACAAUGCUUUAAUCCAUCACUAUGAAUCAGAAUUCAGGACAACUUGGAUAAGUCACACAAGCCACACACUUGAAAACUAGUAACACAUACCUGUGCUGAACUCGCCCUUCCUACAGU